rnacentral:lncRNA from 1 species
GCCGUCACCCACCUCGAGUGGCCGCCCGGGGGCCCGCUAACUCGCCCCGCCAAACACGGGAGACCGGGCCGAGUUACGCCCCCCUCUGGGCAGAGCAGACACCCGGGAAAGACCCCCAGCACCAGCAGCCCACCUAGGCGGCCCCUGCCCGCGCAGACCCCGCACCUCGCACUCUCACCCCCGGUCUGUCCCCGGAACCCGGAUACACCGCUUCCUCAGCCCAGGAAUGCGAAACGGACGCCCACCCCGGCUCAAAGGACGCCAGAGACCCCUCUGAUCUGUCCCCCACCCCACCCCCAGGGACACGGGACCUUGCUAAACUGCCUCUUCUGCCCCCCACCUCAAACAGCCCGGGACCCCGAAAAAUGGACCCCUUGUUCCGGAAUCCGGCUACACCAGCACAAGGAACCUCAAAACCCCAUCAAUCUUCCUCGACUCCGAAGACCCGGGACCCUCUUUGCCGCCACCCACCCACCCAUACUCAAUGCCGGAAGAACCCCAGGAGCCCCAGUAAACCGCCCCGGUGGCCGCUACACUGCCCUUCGGCGCCAGCACCCGGCUCCCACCGCACCGCCUCCUCGCCCCCCGCACUCCCGAGCUCCGCCAAGCUUCGCGCCCACCAGACAGCGCCGCGCAGUCCCCGGAGCCGCCCCCGUCCGGAGCCCGCCUGGCUGGCUGCUCCCCGACCGCUUCUCCGCAGAGACGCGCCGCGGGUUUCCUCACCUGGGCAGCGUCGGAGGGCGAGCGGACCGGGGAGCCCUGAGGCAGAGAAGCGGCGGCCCAGGCCUGCGGCGCCGCAGCUCCAACCCCUUCGCGAGGAAGCGCCUGUGUGAGGAGAACGGAAGAGCACAUGUCUUUCCCCCGCUCCUGCCCGUAGGGAAAGUGGAGAGCCAAGCUCAUUCAAUCAGAAAAACAUCUUGUGGGAAGCCAGCACGUGCACAGAAAUUCUCUAGAUGCUUGUGUUACAACUGUGAAUAAGAAAGCCCAAAACCUACCACAUGGAGACAGCUAACUAUAAUAAACCUGACAAGCAUGCAAGCUUUGUAGUCUGG